GCAGAGACAACCAGGAGGUUGGCUUAGAAGCAGCCACCCUUGAAAGAGUGCGUAAUAGCUCACUGGUCAAGUGAUUCCGCGCCGACAAUGUAGCGGGGCUCAAGUACACCGCCGAAGUCGUGGCACUGACAGUUCCUUUGGGUGCUGUUGGUGGGUAGGGGAGCGUCGUGCAGCCGGCGAAGCAGCAGAGUGAUCUAGUUGUGGAGGCUGUGCGAGUGAGAAUGCAGGCAUGAGUAGCGAAUCGAGGGUGAGAAACCCUCGCGCCGGAUGACCAAGGGUUCCUGGGGCAGGCUAAUCCGCCCAGGGUAAGUCGGGACCUAAGGCGAGGCCGACAGGCGUAGUCGAUGGACAACGGGUUGAUAUUCCCGUACCCGCUUCAAUGCGCCCAUAUCGAACCUCGUGAUGCUAAGAGUCCUUAAGUCCCUAACGCUCUUCGGAGUGUGGGUGAGACUGAACGCUCGAUCCGAUCGGGUAGUAGGUAAGCGAUGGGGUGACGCAGGAAGGUAGUCCAGCCCAGGCGAUGGUUGUCCUGGGGUAAGCAUGUAGGGAGUGAGGUAGGCAAAUCCGCCUCGCAUUAA
rnacentral:rRNA from 1 species